UCAAGUCAGUUUGCUUGUUUUUGUCAUUUCUGAAUUCUUUUUUCAUUUUCUUCUUCUUUUUCUCAGUUAUCCAUUUACUAUGAAAUUUUGUGUGAAUAUACGUAACUCUAAGAGGAUGUUUCCUCAACAAUUGUCUAUAAAAGGAAUGAAGAUGAAGAUAUAACCAAAUAUGAUUCUAAUUAUUUAAAUACCGGCUAAAUGGGGAAAAUGAGGAAGGAGAUUACAAUGUGGGGAAUCGAACUCUCGUCAAUAACUUUUAAGUUAUCCAGUUACUAUGAAUUUGGAAUGAAUAUACAUAAACCUGAGAGGAAGUUUCCUCAACAAUUGUACAGAAAAGGAAUGAAGAUGACGAUAUCACAAAUAUGAUUCAUAUUAUUUAUAUACUAGUUAAAUGGGGAAAAUAAGAAAGGAGAUUACAACGUGGGGAAUCAAACUCUUGUCAACAGUUUUUCAUGUAGUCAACCAACUUAACUACUAAAAUCAUCCUUAGAAUUGAGUCCCUUAAUUGACUAAGAUUCCCUCUCUUGAGCAUCCCUCCUUAGACGAUACAAACAAAAAUGGCCACCAUUCUUCUCGAAACUCUCUAUCUAAUUAUCAUAUGGGAAGGCACAAUAACAUCAUAAUCAUCAGUGUACUCGUCUUCGAAAAAUUUUAAUAAUAUAUAUUACUUCUCUUA